UACGUAGGGUGCGAGCGUUGUCCGGAAUUAUUGGGCGUAAAGAGCUCGUAGGCGGUGUGUCACGUCGGCCGUGAAAACCUGCAGCUUAACUGUGGGCGUGCGGUCGAUACGGGCAUCACUGGAGUUCGGCAGGGGAGACUGGAAUUCCUGGUGUAGCGGUGAAAUGCGCAGAUAUCUGGAGGAACACCGGUGGCGAAGGCGGCAUCCUGGACCAAUUCUGACACUGAGGAGCGAAGCCAGGGGAGCAAACGGG
rnacentral:rRNA from 1 species